CGGGGUGUGGCGCAGCUUGGUAGCGCGCGUCGUUCGGGACGACGAGGUCGCAGGUUCAAAUCCUGUUACCCCGA
rnacentral:tRNA from 3 species